rnacentral:siRNA from 1 species
UUAUUUCAGUCCUACAUGUUUU